UCACCCUGCUAACUAGAGUCAGACAUGAGUCAUCUGUUUUCUGGUUAAAACAUUUUCAGUGAAAUAAGCAUUAACUAUAAUGAAUUAACUUUAUGAAAUAUUUUUAAGCUUAUAAUAAUUUCAAGGCCUUUAUUAGCAGACAACUGGUAGAAAUAUUACUGUAUUUUACUUUAAAUUGAUCAUAUCAAGUUUGAGCAUAAAUUAACACAUUGUAUCUUUCCCAGUAUCAUAAAGGAAAGCUCUGGUCUUCACUGCACAUUGCUAUGUGACGGGGCCUACAAGAAUGCUUUUAACUGAAGCUUUCAAAGGGUGAAGCGCACUUUUGUGAGGAAAAUGAUAGCUGACAAGUGAUUUGGGCAAAGAGGACACCAAAGAAACAAGACUCUCUAAACACAAGAGGACAGUCACACAGGUGAAUUCACAGAGACUGUGGCACCAUGCACAGGGACUUCACAGGCACAGGAAAGAUGUCCUAAUGCUGAGAGGGUAAGUGGACAUAUGUCCCCGUCCCUAACUCAGAAGCUGUCUCCAAUUGAUAACCACUCACAAAUGAAAACUUAGUUCUCUCCAACAGUCUCACUGGGGAUACAAACCACUCUUAAGCACAGGCCCCAUGCCCAGAAGAAGAUGGCCAACAGCAAAUGUCCUCAGUGGCAUCUUUGGAGGUUCUUUGUCUCAUAAAGUUUUGUCAUAGCUCUUUUUUUUUUUUAACCUUACAGAUCCUUUGCAUAUGUUCAAAUGGCUUCAGUUUUUCUGUUUUUAUGGGAUUCCUUUGGGUAUAAAUGUGUUUGUCUCCUUG